GCUGGGAUGGCCGAGUCGUUAAGGCGAGUGAUUUGAACAAACACAGUUCAUUCUUGCAUGGAUUACGUAUUUGUCAAAUUAUCACUUGGUGUUUCACCGCGUAGGUUCAAAUCCUGCUCCCAGCG